GUCCAGCCGCCGCGGUAAUACGGAGGGUGCAAGCGUUAUUCGGAAUUAUUGGGCGUAAAGCGCACGUAGGCGGUCUUGUAAGUUGGGGGUGAAAUCCCGGGGCUCAACCCCGGAACUGCCUCUAAUACUGCUAGUCUUGAGUUCGAGAGAGGUGAGUGGAAUUCCGAGUGUAGAGGUGAAAUUCGUAGAUAUUCGGAGGAACACCAGUGGCGAAGGCGGCUCACUGGCUCGAUACUGACGCUGAGGUGCGAAAGCGUGGGGAGCAAACAGGAUUAGAUA
rnacentral:rRNA from 1 species